rnacentral:rRNA from 1 species
UGAGGAAUAUUGGUCAAUGGGCGAGAGCCUGAACCAGCCAAAUCGCGUGAAGGAAGACUGCCUUAUGGGUUGUAAACUUCUUUUAUACAGGAAUAAAAAAGGGGACGUGUCCCUUAUUGCAUGUACUGUAUGAAUAAGCAUCGGCUAACUCCGUGCCAGCAGCCGCGGUAAUACGGAGGAUGCGAGCGUUAUCCGGAUUUAUUGGGUUUAAAGGGUGCGCAGGCGGGCUUUUAAGUCAGCGGUGAAAUCUCGGGGCUUAACUCCGAAACUGCCGUUGAAACUGGGAGUCUUGAGUAUGGAUGAAGUAGGCGGAAUUCGUUGUGUAGCGGUGACAUGCUUAGAUAUAACGAGGAACUCCGAUUGCGUAGGCAGCUUACUAAGCCAUAACUGACGCUCAAGCACGAAAGCGUGGGGAUCAAACAGGAUUAGAUACCCUGGUAGUCCACGCCGUAAACGAUGAUUACUAGUUGUAUGCGAUAUACCGUAUGUGACUAAGCGAAAAGCGAUAAGUAAUCCACCUGGGGAGUACGCCGGCAACGGUGAAACUCAAAGGAAUUGACGGGGUCAUAGCGUUUCCU